rnacentral:rRNA from 1 species
AUUGAACGCUGGCGGCAAGCCUAACACAUGCAAGUCGAACGAGUGGCGGACGGGUGAGUAAUGUCUGGGAAACUGCCUGAUGGAGGGGGAUAACUACUGGAAACGGUAGCUAAUACCGCAUACCCUCGGAUGUGCCCAGAGGUGAUUCGCUAGUUGGUGGGGUAAAGGCUCACCUAGGCGACGAUCCCUAGCUGGUCUGAGAGGAUGACCAGCCACACUGGAACUGAGACAGGGUCCAGACUCCUACGGGAGGCAGCAUUGGGGAAUAUUGCACAAUGGGCGAAAGCCUGAUGCAGCCAUGCCGCGUGUAUGAAGAAGGCCUUCGGGUUGUAAAGUACGUUCAGCGGGGAGGCGUUACCCGCACAAGAAGCACCGGCUAACUCCGUGCCAGCAGCCGCGGUAAUAC